UAACAGGAUUCCCCUAGUAACUGCGAGUGAAGCGGGAAGAGCUCAAAUUUAAAAUCUGGCGGUCUUCUGGCUGUCCGAGUUGUAAUCUGGAGAAGCGUUUUCUGUGUUAGACCGUGUACAAGUCUCCUGGAACGGAGCGUCAUAGAGGGUGAGAAUCCCGUCCAUGACACGGACAACUAAUACUUUGUGAUACGCUCUCGAAGAGUCGAGUUGUUUGGGAAUGCAGCUCAAAAUGGGUGGUAAAUUCCAUCUAAAGCUAAAUACAGGCGAGAGACCGAUAGCGAACAAGUACCGUGAGGGAAAGAUGAAAAGCACUUUGGAAAGAGAGUUAAACAGUACGUGAAAUUGUUGAAAGGGAAACGCUUGAAGUCAGUCGCGUUGUGCAGAACUCAGCCUUGCCUCGGCUUGGUGUACUUUCUGCACAACGGGUCAACAUCAAUUUUGGCCCAUGGAGAAAGGUGGGGGGAA
rnacentral:rRNA from 1 species